rnacentral:lncRNA from 1 species
GGGUGUGGCCUAUGACCUGGGCCGUGUGGAGAGGAUCAUGUCGGAGACCUACAUGCUCAUCAAGCAGGUGGAUGAGGAGGCUGCGCUGGAGCAGGCUGUGAAGUUCUGCCAGGUCCAUCUUGGGGCUGCCGCCCAGAGACAGGCCUCGGGGGACACCCCCACCACUCCAAAGCACCCCAAAGACAGCCGAGAGAACUUCUUUCCUGUGACAGUGGUGCCCACAGCCCCUGACCCUGUGCCAGCUGACUCUGUCCAGCGGCCCAGUGAUGCUCACACCAAGCCUCGCCCUGCACUAGCUGCCGCCACAACUAUUAUCACCUGCCCUCCGUCAGCAUCAGCUUCCACCCUGGACCAGUCCAAGGACCCUGGGCCUCCCCGGCCACACAGGCCUGAAGCUACCCCCAGCAUGGCCUCUCUGGGCCCAGGGAGAAGAGCUGGCGAGAGUGGCAGAGGGCACCAGCUUCCCGCCUCAGGAGCCACGGCACAGUCCGCAGGUGAAGAUGGCCCCCACAAGUUCCCCGGCAGAGCCACACUGCUGGCCGGCAGAGGCUGCCCUGGGCACAGGCGCUGAGCCCACCUGCAGCCAGGAGGGGAAACUGAGGCCUGAGCCGAGAAGGGAUGGGGAGGCUCAGGAGGCUGCGAGUGAGACUCAGCCCCUGAGCUCUCCCCCAACAGCUGCCAGCUCCAAGGCCCCCAGCAGUGGGAGUGCCCAGCCACCAGAGGGUCACCCAGGCAAGCCUGAGCCCAGCCGGGCUAAGUCCCGCCCCCUGCCCAACAUGCCAAAGCUGGUCAUCCCCUCCGCCGCCACCAAGUUCCCCCCUGAGAUCACCGUCACGCCACCCACCCCAACCCUGCUCUCCCCCAAAGGCAGCAUCUCGGAGGAGACCAAGCAGAAGCUGAAGUCAGCCAUCCUUUCUGCCCAGUCUGCUGCCAACGUGAGGAAGGAGAGCCUAUGCCAGCCAGCCCUGGAGGUCCUGGAGACAUCCAGCCAGGAGUCCUCGCUGGAGAGCGAGACAGACGAGGACGACGACUACAUGGACAUUUGAGGGGCCACUGCAGCCCCACCGCCACGCCCCAGGGGACCAGCCAGGCCUGGAAUGCCCCCUGGGCAGGACCCUGGGCAGGACCAGAGGCCCACAUGGAUGCCACUCCCCACACAGCCCCCAGGCCUGCCCAGCCCACCUCCUCAUGGCAUCCUCCCUGUACCCAGGUCAGGCUGUCCACACCACAUGGGAGCCCAGAGGAGGAGGGGCCCGCCUUAGCCAUGUGAAGGUGGAUUGGUCGCCAUCUGCACGCCAGGCGGCAUCCUUUUCUAUGAAGUGUUGACUUUGUAAAUCUGCCCACACCCAGCUGGCCAUAUCCACCCCUCGACGCCGGGAUGAGCCGGCUCUGCCUGUGUCACAGUGGAGGGGUCCUUUAGGGCCAGGCUCACCCCUCACCCUUUUUUUGGUUGCUUUUCUAAUAAAGAUGGAACAGUU